GGAGAGGUGCCAGAGCGGUCGAUCGGGGCGGUCUCGAAAACCGUUGUGCCUUCACCGGUACCGUGGGUUCGAAUCCCACCCUCUCCGCCA
rnacentral:tRNA from 1 species